rnacentral:rRNA from 1 species
UACGGAGGGAGCUAGCGUUGUUCGGAAUUACUGGGCGUAAAGCGCGCGUAGGCUGCUUUGCAAGUAGAGGGUGAAAUCCCGGGGCUCAACCCCGGAACUGCCUUCUAAACUGCAGAGCUAGAAUCCUGGAGAGGUGAGUAGAAUUCCUAGUGUAGAGGUGAAAUUCGUAGAUAUUAGGAAGAAUACCAGUGGCGAAGGCGGCUCACUGGACAGGUAUUGACGCUGAGGUGCGAAAGCGUGGGGAGCGAACAGG